AUGUCCGUGACACCAUUGUGCUCCAUUCGAGAUCUAUCACCAACCCUGAACGGGUGUUCUACAAGUUCUCCAGCCAUCGUGUUGGACCGAAUCCAUGCCAACACUACUAGUGGGAAGAUGGCCCAGAUAACUAUUUUGAUUUUCUGGUUAGGAAUGGCCACUUAUGUAUUGCAAGAACAUGAAGAUCUAGAGGUAGCUCUGGUCAUUCAUUGGGCGACAUAG
rnacentral:rRNA from 1 species